rnacentral:lncRNA from 1 species
GGGACGAAUUGAAAGAGAGUAGAAUAAGUGUGCUUGAGGUUAUUAUUGUUGGAUUGAGAGAAAACUAAUAGCUGACAAGGUCUAUGAAUCUUAUGGUGCAAAGGCAAUGCGUUUGGAUUCAGCAUAUAUGGAGUAUAUAACUGGGCUUCAUUUUGACUGUCCUUAUGGUAAUUGAUAUUUGCUUUGUUUGCAGGAUGAUUCCUUACAAAGACUAAGCAUGGAGUGGCAGCUUUCGCUGGUGUGAAUUGAAGGCUUAUGAGGGGAUUCUUGCACUAUAUGAUAAGACAAGAGAAUGGUUAUUCCUGAUGCUCUCAAGUUUUGCAGUAG